CCUACGGGUGGCAGCAGUGAGGAAUAUUGGUCAAUGGCCGAGAGGCUGAACCAGCCAAGUCGCGUGAGGGAAGACGGCCCUACGGGUUGUAAACCUCUUUUGUCGGGGAGCAAAGCGAGUCCCGGGUGACUCAUUGAGAGUACCCGAAGAAAAAGCAUCGGCUAACUCCGUGCCAGCAGCCGCGGUAAUACGGAGGAUGCGAGCGUUAUCCGGAUUUAUUGGGUUUAAGGGGGGCGCAGACGGCAGCGCAAGCCAGUAGUGAAAGCGCGGGGCCCAACCCCGGGACUGCUCUUGGAACUGGGAGGCUGGAGUGCAGGAGGGGCAGGCGGAAUUCCUGGUGUAGCGGUGAAAUGCGUAGAUAUCAGGAGGAACACCGAUGGCGAAGGCGGCCUGCUGGACUGCGACUGACGUUGAGGCCCGAAAGCGUGGGGAGCAAACAGGAUUAGAUACCCUUGUAGUC
rnacentral:rRNA from 1 species